GCCUGUUUGGCUCAGUUGGUAGAGUGUGCAACUCUUGAUCUCAGCGUUGUGGGUUCGAGCCCCAUGUUGGGUG
rnacentral:tRNA from 1 species